GAUGAACGCUGACAGAAUGCUUAACACAUGCAAGUCGAUGGGGAAGUGGUGCUUGCACCAUGGCAACCAUGGCGGACGGGUGAGUAACGCGUAAGGGACUUACCUGCAGGACUGGGAUAACAGGGGGAAACUCCUGACAAGACCGGAUAAUGUCAUGGAGCUGCAUGGCUUUAUAAUGAAAGGAGACGCCUGCGGAGAGCCUUGCGUCCUAUUAGCUAGUUGGUGAGGUAAUGGCUCACCAAGGCGAAGAUAGGUAGCCGGCCUGAGAGGGUGGACGGCCACAAGGGGACUGAGAUACGGCCCUUACUCCUACGGGAGGCAGCAGUGGGGAAUAUUGGACAAUGGGGGCAACCCUGAUCCAGCAAUUCUGUGUGCACGAAGAAGGUUUUCGGAGUGUAAAGUGCUUUCAGCAGGGAAGAAGUAAGUGACGGUACCUGCAGAAGAAGCGACGGCUAAAUACGUG
rnacentral:rRNA from 1 species